rnacentral:rRNA from 1 species
UACGUAGGGGGCAAGCGUUGUCCGGAAUUAUUGGGCGUAAAGAGCGCGUAGGCGGUCCGAUAAGUCGGCUGUGAAAGUCAGGGGCUCAACCCUUGAAAGCUGGCCGAUACUGUCGGACUAGAGUCCGGAAGAGGCGAGUGGAAUUCCCGGUGUAGCGGUGAAAUGCGCAGAUAUCAGGAGGAACACCGGUGGCGAAGGCGGGUCUCUGGGCCGUAACUGACGCUGAGGAGCGAAAGCAUGGGGAGCGAACAGG